CAAAAGCGUAUAUUAAAGUUGUUGCAGUUAAAAAGCUCGUAGUUGAACCUUGGGCUCGGCUGGCCGGUCCAUCUUUUUUGAUGCGUACUGGACCCAGCCGAGCCUUUCCUUCUGGCUAGCCUUUUGGCGAACCAGGACUUUUACUUUGAAAAAAUUAGAGUGUUCAAAGCAGGCCUUUGCUCGAAUAUAUUAGCAUGGAAUAAUAGAAUAGGACGUUAUGGUUCUAUUUUGUUGGUUUCUAGGACCAUCGUAAUGAUUAAUAGGGACGGUCGGGGGUAUCAGUAUUCAGUUGUCAGAGGUGAAAUUCUUGGAUUUACUGAAGACUAACUACUGCGAAAGCAUUUACCAAGGACGUUUUCAUUAA
rnacentral:rRNA from 1 species